UAAUAAGAACUUCCGUUCCUGCUUUGGAAAGCAUCUCCCCUUAACUUGUUUAAUUUUUGAACUAAUCCGCUCAGAAAGAAAAUUAAAUGAAGCUAAUUUGGAGCGACCAAGUUUCGAUGGAAGACCCAAAUAAGCAUUUUGUCUAAAUACGAAGCUCUCUAGGGUAAGUCAAUCAAUUAUGAAUCUAUGACCAGUGGGGGGCAUUUUUUUGUCCAAAUGUCUCUCCCCAGCUUCGAUCUCAAUUAAGUGGCAUCUUAUCCUGGGCAUGGAUCAAUGCUUAUGAAAAUGAAGGCUGAUAUUGGAUUGCUCUCCUCUUCAACCCUCGACAACACUGCAAAUCUCGGUCUAUUCAACUCUGUUUCUCAACUCAACAAGCUUUCAUCACUUCAUUCUUCUUCAUUUGCCCUCGUGAGCCUCAACAAUCAGUAAAACCAAGAAGUUUACCAAGGCGAUCAACAUCGUCGUCUCGGCUGCAACAAUGGCCACUUCCUUCAAGCCUGACGAAGCUAGGGUUCCUCCUGCUCUUCCUUUGCCCACUCCUCCUGUUACCAAGUUCAAGAUCGCUCUUUGCCAGCUGUCAGUGACUACUGACAAGGAGAGAAACAUUGUUCAUGCUCGAAAAGCAAUCGAGGAGGCAGCAGAGAAGGGUUCUCAGCUUGUUGUUCUUCCUGAAAUAUGGAAUAGUCCGUAUUCAAAUGAUAGUUUUCCAGUAUAUGCAGAGGAUAUUGAUGCUGGUGGUGAUGCAACCCCUUCAACUGCAAUGCUGUCUGAACUUUCUCGGAGUCUACAUAUCACAAUAGUUGGUGGCUCUAUACCAGAGCGCUCUGGUGAUCGGUUGUAUAAUACCUGUUGCGUCUUUGGAAAUGAUGGAAAGCUCUUGGCCAAACACAGGAAGAUACAUCUCUUUGACAUUGAUAUUCCAGGCCAGAUGACCUUUAAGGAAUCAAAAACUCUUACAGCAGGGGAGACACCUACGAUUGUAGACACAGAUGUAGGUCGUAUUGGUAUCGGUAUAUGUUAUGACAUUCAGUUCCAGGAAUUAGCGACAUUAUAUGCGGCAAGAGGAGCUCACUUGCUUUGCUAUCCUGGAGCAUUUAACAUGACUACUGGUCCACUGCAUUGGGAGCUAAUGCAGAGGGCAAGGGCAGCGGAUUGUCAGUUGUAUGUUGCAACUUGUUCACCUGCCCGAGAUGCUGGUGCUGGUUAUGUGGCUUGGGGGCACUCCACCCUUGUUGGACCGAAAAUUAAUGUGGCAGUAUGGAGAGGUACUUGCGACAACUGAGCAUGAUGAGGCGAUAGUCAUUGCAGAGAUCGAUUAUUCGCUAAUUGAUCUCAGAAGGACAUACCUUCCAUUCCAGAAGCAGAGGCGAGGGGAUUUGUACCAGUUGGUAGAUGUUCAAAGGUUGAACCCCAAAUCGACCAAGUAAGGAAUUUGAGAAACUCUAAAAGGAUGUGAAAAUGUGAGUUAAAUUGUGAUGAGGACAGCAACCAUGAGAGCAUCUCACAGGGUGUUAUCGGCAUGAUGAUCUAGUCAACGAAAGAGAACAUUCUCCACUUGGUGGUGUUAGGAUGAACUGUGCCCGAAUGGGUUUGUUGGAUGUUUCUUUAAUGUUAUACAGCCUUCAUUUGGAUAA